GCAUGCCGCAUCACACUAUAUUAUCACAUUGAGGAUGGGAAAUUUGGAUAAUGAAUAUAUGAUUUUGAGGAGAAAAAAAAAGACUAUUUAGUGAAGCUGAUAUCCAUGAAAUGGAGCUCUUCAACUAGGGUUUGACUUCAUCCUUGGCCUGAUGGCAUGAUACAGCGCAGAUAGAUACAGAACGUUCCGCCACUUCCAAAACACGAAUAGAAAGUACCAAGUUUAUACCUACAGAGAAGGAUCGAUUCUGCUUGGGACGGGAUGCGUUUGGUCGAAGAUCAGAUGGUAACAUAGUAGAAGCCUGUGACUGCUGAAUGGGACAGGCAUGACUCUUCCCCAAAUGAGCUCUCCUUCUCCUCUUCAGUCUUCCAUGCUUGCAAAGGACAACUGGAGGUGCACUGGUGAACAGAACCAGUGUCUUCUUACUACCCCCUUUAUACAGUCCUGCAUAUUCAACUCCUAAACCUGAAAACAGAAUCAACAAAGUGAGGACAAUUUGUGUAUGGAUAUUGCUAUUUCCCAGCCUGCCUGCCUGUCUGACUCCUUUUCCCACUGGAUACUCAGUUAUAAAGGACAUCUAGUGGUAAGCUGGCAGUAGCACCAGCUCCCUGAGGUGCUGGUGACUUGGAAAGACAUUUCUCUCUCUUUAGGGAAAGCUGAGCUUUUCUUCGUGGCCUAUGGAUGCUGCUUGGAAAAACGACUAAGGGCCACCAGCUCCCUAUCUGCAAAUAUUCUGAGGGGGGAAAAGCAAUGAAAGGAGUCUCGCCUGACAGAUUUCAGGAAUACAAGGUGAAAUGCAAACGACAAGCAGAAUUUGAGAUCAGUUCUAAUGACUACUGUAGACCAUCAAUCAGUUAAUAAACAUUUUUAAUGCUGCUAUGUGCCAGGCACUGUGCUUAUCUUUGAAAUGAACUCAAAUAAUCUUCUCCAAUUCCUGUGGAAAAUAUAUAUUUCCACCAUGAUAGAAAGAAUGGUGACUUUAGGGUCAUAAGGCAUGAGUUCGAAGGUUGCCUCUAAAAAUGAUUUCCUGUGUGACUCUGUCACUUACCUCCCUGGAUCUCUGUUUUCACCCUAUAUAAAAUGAAAGGGGCUGGACUAGAUGAUCUCUGACAUCAGUUCCAACUCUGGACCCAUGAUCCUACAAUUUUCCAUCAUAAGCACAUACUCAGAAUUUGCUAAAACGUCUCCUUUCAGGAUUCUUUUUUUCUUAGACUUCUGUAAAGACCCUUCUUUUUCAUAUCUUAGAGUCAUUCUUAUAUUUCUAAAUCAAUAAAGACAAAUUGUUUUCCCACUAAAA